AGGCCACCUGCUAAUUCGGAACCCCGCGUGAAGGAUGUAUUCAUUGGCCAUGAGCGAAAGUCAGAGGUUCGAAGACGAUCAGAUACCGUCCUAGUUGUGACCAUAAACGAUGCCAACUGACGAUCCGUGGUGGUAAUUAAACCCCCACGGGCAAACUCAGGGAAACUUAACUCUAUGGGUUCCGGGGGAAGUGUGGAUGCAAAACUGAAACUUAAAGGAAUUGACGGAAGGGCACCACCCGGAGUGGAGCCUGGGCCUUAAAUUGACUCACCACGGGAAAACUCACCCGGGCCGGACACUAUGAGGAUUGACAGAUUGAAAGCUUUUUCUUGAUUUGGUGGUUGGUGGUGCAAGGCCGUUCAUAGUUGGUGGAGCGAUUUGUCUGGUAAAAUCCGAUAACGAACGAGACUCCUGCCUGGUAAUUACUCUCCGGACCCACAGGCUUGUGCAGGCUUCUUGCUUGUACACGAGGCCUUCCGGGGCGUGAUGUCGCGCCAUAACUCAUCUUUUUUCCCCGGNNNNGNNNNGG
rnacentral:rRNA from 1 species